UACGUAGGGUGCAAGCGUUAAUCGGAAUUACUGGGCGUAAAGCGUACGCAGGCGGCUAUGUAAGACAGGUGUGAAAUCCCCGGGCCUAACCUGGGAACUGCAUUUGUGACUGCAUAGCUAGAGUCCGUCAGAGGGGGGUGGAAUUCCACGUGUAGCAGUGAAAUGCGUAGAGAUGUGGAGGAACACCGAUGGCGAAGGCAGCCCCCUGGGAUGAGACUGACGCUCAUGUACGAAAGCGCGGGGAGCAAACAGG
rnacentral:rRNA from 1 species